GUUUUCUCCCUAAAGUCCUCUUACACAGUUCUAGCUCUACUGUGCCUGAAAAGAGGUCUGUAAACUUUCACAGGCUAACCCUGGUUUCCCCAGGGAAGUUGCAAUUCAGUAACGAUAGAGUCUUGUUUUAGUAGACAGUAACUUAAGCGCCUGCCUGCCUACCAACAUCUUCCCACUUAACCAUUCUUAGGGUUAACAAUCUGUGAUUAUUUUGGACUCCAAAUACCUGUAGUGUCAAUGGUCUUGUGUAUUCUGACCCUGUGUCUAUAUGCCUAUGACCUGGGAUGAAGGAUCUUUACUGUAGUCUGUACAUACUCAAAUUCAUAGCCUAUUCCUUAAGCAAAUGGUUUUCAAACUUCGAUUGUUAACAGCAGAACUGGAU
rnacentral:lncRNA from 1 species